UUCACUCAAGAUCAGAAAUGUGGACCCUUUUGGGUCCCAUGAACAUGGGUUGAGAACCGCAGUAUAAUGUCACAUUUUCUACAACCCCAUUGAUAGGGAGGAGAUGAAGAGGGAGGAGAUACCCGUCUGGAGGAAGAACAAUGGUCGGCGUGCAGAAACUGAAAGUUCAAAUGCUGUCCUGCUGACCUGCGCCGUGAAAAACAAUGCUCUACUGUCCCAACACACAGCCAGUGGGGAGGAGGGCGGGGACUGGCAUCCUUUCUGAUGGAUUGCAGUCAUUUGAAGGCAACACACCACAUCUCACAGCCACAGACCACCAACACGUCCAAAAUAAACCAACCAUUCAAUGGCCUACGACUGCCAAGGGGAGUUAUUCCGUCCGCCACCUAUGAUUUGCAUGGGGCCUGACUUGUCAUUGUCCGCCAUCAGAGCGGUCUCUGUUUAAACAGCCCUGUGCACAAACGCUUUGGGACUGUGUUUAUAGCGGAGCACUCACCCAUUCACACGUGGAUGACAGUCUGCAGCAACACGGGUGUCUGUCUUUAUGUGUGCGUCGGCGCAAGAUAUAUUGCUGCACGUGUGUGCAUGCAUGGGUGCAUACACAACACAGAGACACGCGACAGCGCAGCACAGCAAGUCCGAGCUGGGCCCUAAGUGAGCGGCUGCUGGUUGGCGCCACUCUCAGCCCACUUCCUUGCAGCUCUGCAAUCCGUCAGACAGGGUGCUGAGAGCUGCUCUCUUUACUCUCAGUCUUCCCCCAUCGCUCACACACACACACACACACACACACACACACUUACACACUCCACAGCUUUCCCCAUUGAUCCUGACUAAUUGAAGCCUUGGGCUGGGCCUUCUGGAAAGGACCAUAACUACGCCAGACUAGAUGCAGCAGCACCAGGCAGACAGAAAGACAGACAGGGAGGGAGGCGGAUAAACAGGCAGGCACAAAUGCAAGACACAAAUGGACCACUCUAAAAUGAAGACACGGCGGAAGGAAGGAAGAGGAAGUGCCUCCAGAAACACACAGAAGGCAGCCUGAUUGCCUCUACGUACAAGGGGUGGACAAAAUCACGGAAACAUCUAGCAAUAUAAAGAGCGGGGUCACCUUUUGCCUUCAGAAAAGCUCCAAUCAUUUUUGGAAUGCUGUAAAAAAAGUCAUGAACUGAGUUUAGUGGGAUACUGCAAAAUAAUUCAAGGAGAAAAGCCUCCAGUUCUUUUAAGGACGAAAAAAGGUGGAACUUUACUUUGCACGUUGUGCUCCAGGACAUUCCAUAAAGGUUUAAUGAUUAAUUUAAUCAGAUCUUGUGAUUGGGGAGGCCAUGGAAGAAAUUUGACAUAAUUCUGGUGUUCAUAAAACCACUGUUGAAUUUGUUUAGCAGUGUGUAUGGGGGCAUUAUCAUCCUCGAAUACAGGAGCAUCAUGAGGGAACAGUGUUUGUACCAUAGGAUGCAUCUGGUUCUGUAAACUCCUGUAAAAAGUUUAUCCCCGUAGGUCAGCUUCAAAUUCCAGUGUUCCUCUUUCCCCUAGCAAUUUGUCCAAACUUGGCAUAUGCUGUCAUGUUUUUUGAGGCUGUUCCCCUCAACACACUGAAUCACUUUGCAUGUUUUUGGGCACAUGUAUUUUGGCCACUUUGGAAUUCUGUAAGUUGCCUCACAUUGCAUAGAAAAUUCUAAUAUCAAAGUAUUAAUUGUCAGCCAUCUUUUAUGGCUGAGAUGUUUAUUGCCAAUUGGAAAUCAACUUAAUGAGACUUCUGCAGCUGGGUUUGUAAUUGUGAUUUAUUUACUUCAAAUAACAGCCCUUUUCCAUGUGGUGUUUCUUUUAUUUUGUUCACCCCUGUAACCCUGUAUAUUGUUUGUCUAUUUGCUGCGCUGUCUGUGGACUGGGCUGUUGCUGCUAGAUUCAAUGUUGUUUAACUCAUUUAUACAGUAGGAACAUUGGUGGGCCAAGUUAAAAUACAAUUUGCAAUGAAAUACAGUGAAAUUACAACAUAUAAUAAUGUAGGACUCAGGGAAAAGCAAUAGUAGCAAUGGUUUUUAAUCUGGUUCUACAUUUUUGUAGAGUCACAAAGUACAGACAGUUCUGGGGAGUUAGGAAGGGUAUGGGGUGUUCUGUUAAGGUGAGAGUGUUCAAAGCACUCAGGCAGUUCAUUUAUCCUCUGUGUGUGAGAAGCACGAGACCGGGGAGGGGGAACAAUAACAGAGACUUUACCAGACAAGACAUGUGAUCCAUACAGUCUCCUUCCUGCAGGACACCCACCACACCCCACCAAGCAGAUACCCCUCCCCACACACAUACUACCCCUUCCUGGGUAAACUCAGCCACGUUCGGCUUAGUUGACCUCCAGCUGAUUAAACUAUGUGCUUUCCUCUGAGAGCUUUGGCGUGCCUUGUGGAUUCCUGGGCUUCUUUCUCUGUCUCUGCUGUAACGCCACCCAGCACACCACCACACACACUAAAAAAGAC